rnacentral:lncRNA from 1 species
CUGAUUUGCAACACUGGCUAAGAACAGACAACGGCUUUAGUCUAUGGUAAGUGUAAGUGUAUACAGGAAAGGGAAACAUCUCAUCAGAUUUUAUCAGACUGGAAUAAAGCAGGGAACCAGUAUCUGGGCUGCUGGAGAUCUGGUGAUGUAUCUGAGAUCUGAUAAAGACAGGCAUUUGUGACAGUACAAGUAUUUCCUUAUGUGAAAAACAGCAGAAAAUAAUGUCCACAUACUGUGAASUCUUGCAGCUGAAGACACCUGAGAUACAGUACUGAAUCUGGAAAAAAAAAAAGGAUUGUUCAUGAAAGAGAAGAUAUUACUGAUUUAAAAUCUGAGUUCAUGUUGUGUUUAUAUAGAAGUAUAAAAUAUAUAUAUUUUAUAUGAUAUGAAAAAUAAUCACUUUCCUUAUGCACUUACAUGUGUGUGCAUACACACACAUAUAUAUACAUGCAUAUAUAGGUUUUCAUUGCUCCACUUAUGAAGGCACAUGAGAAAUCUUCAUCUCUUUUUAGCAGGUUUUAAGAUGGUGAGGGAUGUAACAUAGUGUGUAUGUCUCAAAAAUCACAGUCUAAGCCAGUAGGAAGCACUGAGAAAAUGGAAACUCACCUUCUCAAAUGCUGGAUGUGAUACCUCAAUUUCUGUUCUUCGAAGACAAUGGGGAUAAGGUUGUGCAAGCCAAAGAACAAGACAAAAGAAAGCAGCCUCAGGAACACUGCUGCAAAUGAGUACCUCUACCUACAAUGAGAAACUUUCCCUAGACAUAUUUCUCACUUUUCUAUUAUCUUCUACAACAACUCGAAGAAAAUAUUUUUCCUUUCUGCAGUUCCUGCGAUUCAAGUUGACAGUCAUGCCUCAUCUAAACUCUGAUACAUGUCUUCUCUUGAUUUUGUUAUGCUAG